rnacentral:lncRNA from 1 species
UUUGAAUAAUUUUAAUUCUCAAAACUAAAAAAAAAAAUAAGAAACCACUCAAACCCUUACCGUCUCUCUCAUCCCUCAUUCCUCUCAACCCUUUCUCUUUCAUCUCUCCCACUCUAACUUUCUCUCUGUCAUCUCUCCCAACUGAAAAAAUAAAAAACACUCACUCAAUCCUAAUCCACAUUCCUUACUUAUCCAAUUUGUUUCACUCUCAUCUUCAUCCUCUCUCUCACCCACACACAGUAACCUAUGACACCGCAAUUUGUUGAUCUUGUUUUGUUCGUUCAUUUGUUUUCCACUUUAUAACAAAAUAAUUGAUGAUGUUGAUGUUGAUGUUGAUUUUUGAUUGGAGAGUUGUGUUAUAUAUUUUCCCUUUUGAUUGUUAUUAAAUUUUGGGGUUAAAUAUGUUUUUAGUCCCUAUACUUUAGGGCGAUUUUGAUUUUAGUCCAUUUUCAAACUAAGUUACAAUUUAGUCCUUCAACUUUAGAAAACUCUGGUUUUAGUCCUUUUUACCAAAUUUUUUUAACUUUAUUUGUUGUUACAAGCACGUUUC